GGGCCGGGGCUCCCUCGACAUCUCCCGGGAGGGCGGUUUUGGACUGUGGGAGGCUCGCGUUUCCGCCAUAGGGAACCCUUGGGUUAUAUUGUAAAGAGCCGUUUGCGCUUAUUUUUGUCCAUACAGUUACAUGGCUCAGUUCUGUGGUUCAGCGUUUCAAAAAAACCCCGACACCUGAGCUCUGGUUUCCUGCAGCAGCGUGGGGUUUGCUGUCGCUGCUCUGGAACUGAGCGUCUUACCUACUGCAACUCAAAUGAAUACCCUGCUCAUAGGGUUCUUCAUGGCUUUUUAAUGCGCUCAUUUGUCCCUAAUUCGUUAUUCUAAAAACAGUAAUUUCUGUGAGUAUCACUGAACUGCGUUGUCUCUUUGUAGAGGAACAGAGUGUGUGUUCUGGUGUGACACCUGGACUUGGCAGCAUGGAGAAGGUUUCCAAACGUCUGUAUGUUGGAGGGCUUGGCCAUACGAUUUCCAAGGCUGAGCUGGAAGAAAAAUUUGGCAAGUUUGGGCGUGUUUUGGAGGCAGAGAUUAUUACCAGGAAAGAUGAUCAGGGGAAUCCUACAAAAACUUUUGCUUACAUCAGUGUCAACAUUUCUGAUGCAGAUCUCAGAAAGUGCGUGUCUGUUUUAAAUAAAACAAAAUGGAAAGGGGGGACACUGCAAAUUGAGCUGGCCAAAGAAAGCUUUUUGCACAGGCUGGCCACGGAGAGGGAGGAAGCAAAGCUGCAGAAAGAAAAACCAGAGAGAAAUGACCAAAUGUAUCUGUUGGAAUCACUGAAAAAGAAGGGAGUUGUGGACUUCCACAUGAGAGCAGUACCAGGUACAGAGGUGCCAGAUCAUAAGAAAUGGGUUGUUGGAAAAUUUGGCAGAGUCUUGCCUAUCCUGCACCUCAGGAAUCAACAAAAAAAUAAAGUGGUCAAGUAUGACCCCUCAAAGUAUUGCCACAACCUGAGGAAGCUGGAGCCAGAGCUGGUACAUGCAGCUCCUGUAUCCCAGCUCACCUGGAGCCUGGAAGGAGGAGAUGACAGCGUGACCAGGAAACGGCAAGGGGAAUUCCCUGGGAUGAGGAAACCACCAGAGAAAAGGAUGCAGCUGGGCAGAGAGGCCCUGAGUGGAACAACUCUGUCCUCUGUCCUCUGUCCUCCAAAACACACAGACUCAACCCAGCUCAAAGAAAGAUCAAAACCUAAACCUGGUGAGGAGUUGAAAUUGCCUCCAGCAAGGAGACUGGAUGGGAAAAUAUCUAAAAAUGCUAAUGGAGUUACAGCCAAAAGUAAAAACAGUGUUCCUGAUAGUGAUAUUGAUUCUGAAGAGGAGAUCAAAGCAAUGGUAAAGAGAGAGGCAGAAAGACAAAAAGUUGAAAAUGUUGAGACUGAAAGUGAGCACUUGGAAAUUGUUGAGGAUAAUUUUGAAUUAAAAUACAGUAGCCACUGGUCCUUAAGCAAUUCGGAUACCGUGACGAAAGCUAUCAAAGGAAGUAACAAAGAGAAAGAGACAAUGGAAUGUGAUAAUGGUUAUGAUUCAGCAGAUACUGAUGAAAUAAUUUCUGAAAGUAAAAUUUUGGAAGACUCUAAACAGGGGAGGGUGAAAAAUAAAGAAAUACUAGUUAAAAACAGAAGUGGUUUGGUAAAUAGCUCCUCACUGAAACUACGCAGUUUAAAAGAAAAACACAUUGAAAGAAAAGGGAAAGUUAAAAAAUCCAGAAUUGCUGCCUUGCAGAGUACAGCAGCCAGCAGUACAACAGAAACAUGUGAUAGUGACAGCUCUUGUUCAAAGUCUGAAAUCAGCUCUGAUUUUGAGACUAUGAUGCAAAACUGUUACCGCUUAGACCUUACAUUGGAUGACUUAAAAGCAUUGGCUACAGAAAACACUGGGACACCUGUAGAGGGGUCAGGCAGUGAACAGAGUCCUUGUCAGUCCAGCAUUGAAGAUAAUCCCAAGGAUAAUACUGUGAAUAAACCAAAACUUUCUAAAUGUCACCCUGCAAUUAAAAAAAAAAACAUCUGUCCUGAAGAUGUGCUGGCUGAUAUUUUAGCAGGGGAGGAGGAUACUGUUGAGGAGAGCUCCAAGGAACAGAGUAAUUCACAUUUGAAGUAUCAGCCCUUCAGAGGAAUGAGGUCCCUUUGUGUAAAAGAGUUAAGUAAGGACAGCACUGACUUAAAGAAGAAGUCUGUUGAAAGUUUGGGAGUUGAGGCUUAUACAUCUUAUUUUGGGGAGGAAUCAUCUAAAAAUCAGCUAAAGAACCGUCCCUUGUGUUCACUUGAAGUCAUCAGCAAAAAGAGACACAAAGUGCCUUAUGAACAGCAUGAGGAACUGCCAGCUGCUGCCUGCUCAGCAGGUCAGAGACUUCAGCCUGGUUCCAGGCCUCAUUUGCAAGAGAAGAACAAAGGUGUGAGUUCUCUACAAGACCAAAACUCAGAGCACAGAGCUGCUGCUGCCAGUACUGAUCAUGAUGAUGGUAGCAGUGACAUGGACAGUGAUGCUGCAGGGGCCCGGGAGCACAUUAAAGAGCAGCCAAAGAGCCCAAAACUGCUUUCCAAAACAUUAAAGAGGAAUACAAGCAAAAAAACCACAGAAUGUGAAGGUAAUAAAGGUGGAAAUGAGAACACAAGCCUUCUAGAAGAUAAGGAACUUUGUGUUCUUGCUGCUGCCUCAAAGGAGUCCAGUACAAUAGAGAAACGGCUCCAAGACAACCAGAGGAGGCUGGCAGCUCUGGAAGAGAGACACAGAGAGAGGGAAUUACAGAAGAAACUCAUUCAAGGAGCUCUUUCAAAUCUGGACAGGCAGCCAGCAGGACAGCACAAACACAUCAUAUUCAAUUCUGAUGUGGAAGACGAAGCUGAAGUGGAUGAGAUGUUGAAAAAGGAUGCAAGUUUGGGAAAAGGGCAUGGAGAAGAUAAGUCAGGUCCCAAACCUUCGAGCAGACUGUUUGAGAGCAGUGAGGAUGAGCAAGAGGAUAUGGAUGAUGAGCGAUUCAAAAUUAAACCCCAAUUUGAAGGCAAAGCUGGUGAAAAACUCCUGCAGCUUCAAUCUCGCUUUGGCACCGAUGAAAGGUUCCGCAUGGAUGCUCGAUUCCUUGAGAGUGACAGUGACGGAGAAGCAGAGACAAACAACCUGAAGGCAGAUGAAGAUGAGGAGCUUGCUGCGGAGAAAAAGAAAAAUCUGCAAAUACUGGGAAGCCUCCUGAAUAUCAACCUGGAGCAGCCCGAGCCAAAUAAAACAGCCACAAGUGUGAAGAAAUUCAAAGAUAUUAAUGCCCUCCGUUAUGAUCCAACAAGAGAGGACCAUGCAGUUUUUGAAAGGAAACUAAGUGCUACAGAAAAUAAGAGUAAAGCCAAAAGGAAGAAGAAAGAAGAGAGUGAGACACUGCCUCAAGUGUCUGAAGAAAUUUAUUAUGAUAUUGCUGCUGAUUUAAAAGACUUGUUUGGAGCUUCAAAGAACAAACCAGAAAAGACUGUGGAAAUACCCUGGGACAAAGAGGAUGCACAGGACUCUGCCCCAGGUGACCAUUUUGGACCUUUGCCCAAGAACGGCACAGCUCAGGAGUAGAGUGCUUUCAAGUUUUCCUUCUUUGGAGACACAGAGGAGUUGGGCAUCAAAGAAGAUAAAUGAGGCCUUAUGAAAAGAAGAUGAAACAACAUUAAAUUGACUAACAGACCUGUAGGAGAGAAAAGAAGCCAUGUGAAGUUAUCCAAAAUAUUAAAAAAACCAACGCAACAACACAAAGCAACAAGACUCACACAAUUGUGCUGAAUUCAGAAGGUAUUCAGUGUCUUCUGAAUGCAACGAUAAAUGUUUAAGAAUACAGCAGAGAUCCUGAGAACAAAGUGGAAAAUCCUGGAGCCGAGAUGUAGCUCAGAAAAUCCGGCAGGAGCAGAUUCUGUCCUUCCUACAUCUGUCUUCUCCACUAGUCUUGCCGACUUGGGACAGUAAAGCUGGUAAAAGUCACAUGGCAGGAGGAUUCACGUUUCCAAGACAGCAGUUCUGAGAGUGAUGAUGAGCCUGAGACGUGAGAAACUGAAACGGACCAGGAAAUGCAAGUUUGUUUCUUUACCACGCACAGAAAGUGCUAGAGUUGUCUUCUUCUUUGAAGAUGAUGUACGCCUAAGAGAUAAUUGCCUAAUAGGAAUCUGGACUUUUAGAGCUUACCAAAACAUUAGCCAGCUGAGAGGUUACCUAGACGUUUUGGAUCCUUUCAGAGGGCCCAAAGUUAUUUUGUAGAUCAGUAGAGCUCAGUGAAGAAAAAAGUGGGUUGGGAAGACCGACGUAGAUUAUUGCUUGAGGAGCAGCUACUUAACUGUAUGUAAAGGAUGUAUUUAAGAGAGAGAGUGAAUUUAGAGACUUCUCCUAAUAGUGGAUUCAGGAACUUCUCAGAAGAAUUUGUUAGAUUUUUAUUUUUUAGAUUUAUUUCCUGGAAUGCUGAAGGAAGCAUAAGGAUACCAAAUAGAAAGCGCAAGGAAACCAAUAAACUCUUUACGCUUUAAAUAGAAACGUGCCACGUUUGUUCCUUGAAGAAGUUGCCAAACAAUGCUACUUUCAAAAUCCUUUCAAA